rnacentral:tmRNA from 1 species
GGGGGCGACAUGGUUUCGACGUGUGUCACGAAACUCCAGGUGCAUGUCGAGGUGCAGGUACCUCGUAAAACCGUCUGCAAACUCAUAGUUGCCAACGACGACAACUACGCACUCGCUGCUUAAAAACCAGUAAGGUGCCGUCUGACUGAAGCCGUGCUUGUGCGUUCAGAUUUCAGGCGUCGACUCUCACAAGAUCGCUGUGAAGCUCUCCCAGGGUGGAUCAGUUAAAACUUAUCUGGGACAGCUGUCUGUCUUCCCUGCCCGUCGGGUAGCAAACAGUUAAAACAAAGACGCGGCUAAGCAUGUAGAUCCUGGGGCGGAGGGCUCGCGGACGCGGGUUCGAUUCCCGCCGCCUCCACCA